rnacentral:lncRNA from 1 species
CUACUUUUUCCGCACAUAAAAUUUUAUAAUAAUUUUAUAAAAUUUUAUAAAAAAAAAAUUAAUUAAGGAUUUGAUAGUUAAUAUCUAGCACUAAUUUUAUAUAAAAAAAUUAUAAUUACUAAUUGAACACGACACAAUUGAUUAAGAAUUUAAUAGUUAAUUUCUAAUAUUUUAAGUUCGACAUAGUUAGUUACUUUAUAGUUUAUUAACUAAAUUUAUUUUUAAAAAAAAUAGAUGAAUCGACUAACAUAUUAUUUUUUUCUCUCUUUCUAAAAGAAAGCUACAUAAUAU